AACGAACGCUGGCGGCAUGCCUAACACAUGCAAGUCGAACGAGUGCCUUCGGGUGCUAGUGGCGCACGGGUGCGUAACGCGUGGGAAUCUGCCCCUUGGUUCGGAAUAACGGCUGGAAACGGUCGCUAAUACCGGAUGACGACGAAAGUCCAAAGAUUUAUCGCCGAGGGAUGAGCCCGCGUUGGAUUAGCUAGUUGGUGUGGUAAAGGCGCACCAAGGCGACGAUCCAUAGCUGGUCUGAGAGGAUGAUCAGCCACACUGGGACUGAGACACGGCCCAGACUCCUACGGGAGGCAGCAGUGGGGAAUAUUGGACAAUGGGCGCAAGCCUGAUCCAGCAAUGCCGCGUGAGUGAUGAAGGCCUUAGGGUUGUAAAGCUCUUUUACCCGGGAUGAUAAUGACAGUACCGGGAGAAUAAGCUCCGGCUAACUCCGUGCCAGCCGCCGCAGUAA
rnacentral:rRNA from 1 species